UACGGGGGGGGCAAGCGUUGUUCGGAAUUACUGGGCGUAAAGGGCUCGUAGGCGGCCAACUAAGUCGGAUGUGAAAUCCCCAGGCUUAACCUGGGAACUGCAUCCGAUACUGGAUGGCUUGAAUCCGGGAGAGGGAUGCAGAAUUCCAGGUGUAGCGGUGAAAUGCGUAGAUAUCUGGAGGAAUACCGGCGGCGAAGGCGGCAUCCUGGACCGGCAUUGACGCUGAUGAGCGAAAGCUAGGGGAGCAAACGGG
rnacentral:rRNA from 1 species